GUGUCAGUCGCCGCGGUAAUACGGAGGGUGCGAGCGUUAAUCGGAAUUACUGGGCGUAAAGCGCAUGCAGGCGGUUUGUUAAGUCAGAUGUGAAAGCCCGGGGCUCAACCUCGGAAUUGCAUUUGAAACUGGCAGGCUAGAGUACUGUAGAGGGGGGUAGAAUUUCAGGUGUAGCGGUGAAAUGCGUAGAGAUCUGAGGGAAUACCGGUGGCGAAGGCGGCCCCCUGGACAGAUACUGACACUCAGAUGCGAAAGCGUGGGGAGCAAACAGG
rnacentral:rRNA from 1 species